UACAGAGGUCUCAAGCGUUGUUCGGAUUCAUUGGGCGUAAAGGGUGCGUAGGCGGCGCGGUAAGUCGGGUGUGAAAUCUUGGAGCUUAACUCCGAAACUGCAUUCGAUACUGCCGUGCUUGAGGACUGGAGGGGAGACUGGAAUUUACGGUGUAGCGGUGAAAUGCGUAGAUAUCGUAAGGAAGACCAGUGGCGAAGGCGGGUCUCUGGACAGUUCCUGACGCUGAGGCACGAAGGCCAGGGGAGCAAACGGG
rnacentral:rRNA from 1 species